rnacentral:rRNA from 1 species
UACGGAGGGUGCAAGCGUUACUCGGAAUCACUGGGCGUAAAGCGAGCGCAGGCGGUUGCUUAGGUCUGAUGUGAAAGCCUUCGGCUUAACCGAAGAAGUGCAUCGGAAACCGGGCGACUUGAGUGCAGAAGAGGACAGUGGAACUCCAUGUGUAGCGGUGGAAUGCGUAGAUAUAUGGAAGAACACCAGUAGCGAAGGCGGCUGUCUGGUCUGCAACUGACGCUGAGGCUCGAAAGCAUGGGUAGCGAACAGG